rnacentral:lncRNA from 1 species
AUUUGGUUCAUUUCAUUCCGGUUUGGUUCUCCUAAGUCUUUUAUAAACCUUAUUACAAACCACAUUUCCUCUAUCUAGCUAGGACACAUAGAAGCUACCGCGUUCCGUUUCACUCCGACUUGAUGUUCCUUUCGUCACUCUGACUUGGUGUUCCUAUCGUCACUCUGACUUGGUGCUCCUAUCUAGCUCUACUAUCUUUUCUAUACGUUUGUUUGUUGAGGAUAUUCCUUUUUCUUUUGUUGGUCGAUGGUUCUCCUCUUUUUUCUAGAAGGUGGUCCUUCCGGUAUGUACUCUACUUUUUGAGGUCUUUCUUCGAUAUCCAAUUCCUAACCAUAGCUUGAGUUUCAUAUCUUCUUUCUGCUUUUGUUGGUCGCCUCCUCUUUGUCAAAAGUCUUUCUUUUAGAUAUUUUAUUCUCGACUGAAGGAGGUUCGUACUCGAUAUCCAAUUCUUGUCAAGGAAAGGUGUUGGUCUAGUUUCAUAAUUCUUUUUUCCUCUGUCGAUCGAGUAUCUUCUUUCUUCUUUCUUUGGUUGAAGGGCUUCCUCUUCUUUUCGAGAGUCGUCCCUUAAGAAGAAAGUACUCGGCAUAUUGAGGAAUGAAUUCGAUAUCCAAUUCCACAAUUCAAGGUCUUUUCCCUCCCUUUUUUUUUCUGUUUAGUUCUUCUUUUUUUGUUCAAGUUGAGGAAAAAAGUGGAAAGUGAGACUUUGUUGAAAAGCGACAAGUUGAAUUUCUCCCCUUCCUUUCCAGUUCUAUUCCAGUUGGAGAAGGGUAUCCGUGUCGUGUCGGGCUUGAGCCAUAUUUCACUAUUUCUAGCUCGUUUUAUUCUCGAGUAUAGUUCCUCGAUUCCAAACUAGGAAAUAUAGGAGCUAUCAUCUCCUUAUUCCGAUGCGACAUGCGAAAUGGAUUUGAUGGUCAUAUGGAAGAGAGGAAAUCUCUUGGAUUUCUGGGGCCAGCCCGAGGGUUUUUUAGUCUAUUUAAAAAGUGUAAAUCAAAUUCACCUUUUGUAAAUGUAAAAACAAUGUCUUUUAAAUUAAGUUAAGUAUAUUCUAUAAAGUGGAAAGUCUUGUCUUUCUAUGGUC